rnacentral:rRNA from 1 species
UACAGAGGGUGCAAGCGUUAAUCGGAAUUACUGGGCGUAAAGCGCGCGUAGGUGGUUCGUUAAGUUGGAUGUGAAAUCCCCGGGCUCAACCUGGGAACUGCAUUCAAAACUGACGAGCUAGAGUAUGGUAGAGGGUGGUGGAAUUUCCUGGUGUAGCGGUGAAAUGCGCAGAUAUCAGGAGGAACACCAGCAGCGAAGGCGGCGCUCUGGGCUGGAACUGACGCUGAGGAGCGAAAGCGUGGGUAGCAAACAGG